rnacentral:lncRNA from 10 species
CCGCCUCGGCCUCCCAAAGUGCUGGGGUGGGUUACAGGUGUGAGCCACCACGCCCGGCCCUCUGCCUUCUUUCUGUGCUGUUCCAGCUCACUCACAUAGCAGUGGUUUUGCCCACUGCGACGAUUUCUCAUUAUUGGGCUCCUGUCCUGUGCCGGGCCCCAGGAUGGCGUACUGAGGUCCCACCCCUCUGGCAGGCGGAGAAAUUCAAGGCGGCAGACCAGGGGUUCGAGCCUGACUUGAGCACCGUGUGGCACUCAGCGUCAACCCCCACCUUCCCCUGCUUCUCGGAAGCGCAGCGGUGCUGGGGACCUGGCUUGGUUGCCUCCAGGGACGGGGCACCCACUUUCUCCCGGGGCAGCCAGUCCUACUGCCCGAGGACUGGAGCAGGGAAACUGGAAAAACCAUGUCACUUUCCAAGUAUUAGAAGAGAUAACGGGACAAGCAGAUCCAGGAAAACAAAACCGGGAUAUGAAAUCCCAGCCCCGGGGUCUGGCAAGGGCGGGCGACAUUCACGGCAGCUCAGCCUCAGCCUGAGGACAGGACAGACGAGGGCUGAGUGCGUAAGUCUAACAAGGUGGGCCCAGGCUGACAGGUUGGACACAGAGCCAGACUUGUGUCCCCUCCAA